CGGACGGGUGAGUAACGACGUGGAAAACCUAGCCGUAUACUGGGGGAGUAACACUUAGAAAUAGGUGCUAAUACCGCAUAAGCGCACAGCUUCGCAUGAAGCGGUGUGAAAAACUCUGGUGGUAUACGAUGGUUCCGCGUCUGAUUAGCUAGUUGGUGGGGUAAUGGCCUACCAAGGCAACGAUCAGUAGCCGGCCUGAGAGGGUGAACGGCCACAUUGGGACUGAGACACGGCCCAAACUCCUACGGAAGGCAGCAG
rnacentral:rRNA from 1 species